AGGAACUGGCAGUAAAAGCUGUAACAUGCUUAUAAGUAGAUCAUUUUAGAGGUAAAAAAGGUAAAAAAAAGAUUUUUUUAAAAAAAAAAAAGUAAAGGAAUCUCUCCUGGCUUUCUGUCCAGCUUUAUUUAAAAGUGAAGCUAAACUUUAAAGUUAUCAUUGCCCUUUGACCAGGCUAUAGCUGUUAGAGUUCAGAGUGAAAAUGCUUUCUGAUUAGAGUCUUAUAAUUGUCUUUUUACAGCAGUGAAGAAAAUGAUGAAGAGAAAAACUAAGUAUUAAUCCACAAACUACAUCUGGGCACUGGUUCAAGACCUGACAGUCUAAGCUCUACUCUUGCCUCUGACCUGUUGACUGUGCUUACUGUUAGAAGAACCCAAGGAAUUUUCAUAACCCAGAAGAAUUCAAAAUACUCUAAAAGUGAAGAAUUAGAGAUGGAUAAUAAUGUUUAGAUUUUACAUGAAGUUUAAAAAAAAAUGACAUUAUCAGCAUGUUUCAUUAUAUUAAACCUUUUGGAUAAGGGAUGAUGGAGUUCUGGGAGACUAUAGAGAGCAGGUGUGAAAUGUGAGCAAUAAUUACUUCCUGCACUGCAAAGUUAUUGAGAAGAUUCAAGGCGUACAGUUCUGGGUGACAAGAAGCAAAACUGAAUGAGUAGAAGAAAUGUGAUCAGAAAAACAAUGAGAGCAGGCCUUGAUCUGUUUGCAGGGAAAAGGAAGAGAGAUUAGAGAGGAGUAUGACUUGAUGAGUCAGGUGAAGUUAGGACCUAUUAGGAUGGUGUACUGAAAGGCUUAUUUAGGAGCUGUAAGAAGCUGGACUUAAUCUUACAGGAUUCCAAAUACCCUUGUCAAGCUUCUGAGUAUUCCUAAUUUAUACAGAUAUCAAAGGAAACAGAGCAUAUUAACAACAUAAGCUAAAUGAUAAACACAGAUUUGUAAGAUUUUCAGGGAACAAGCAGCUCAUGCUGUAAAGUUCUUAGAUCUUAUAUUGAAGACAGAUAUUUAAAAGUAUUGAUUAAUGAGAAAAUAAUAAUUGCUCUAGAUGAAAACAUGAAAUAUUUAACACCAUCUGGGCAGAUCAUACUCAAUGCAUUUCUUGUAAAAAAAAAUCAAAUUUUGAAAGUAAAUAGAAGCAUUCUCUCAGGCAAAGCUGUAGAAGUAACUGAAUAAAUCCAGCAUAAGAAAUAAGCAAUUGAUUUUUCAAACUAUAUUUUGUAACAUUUUAGACCCAUAUUCCAUUAGGAGAAUGAUAAACAUUCUUUGAAGGUACUACUACACCUUCAUUACAGUUGUAAUGUAUUACAUUUUAUAAAACAUAGUAUCUUUAUAGUAUCUUUAGUCCACAAAGAGUUUCCUAGAAAUAUAGAAAUAGAAAAUGACUCUACUACUUUUCUUUGUAUAGUUCUAAUAUUGCCUAGAACUGGAUAGAAAAUAAUACUUUAUUUCUUGGGUAAUUUUGGCAAUUAAAAUUUUUCCAGUACUCAAAAAGAAAGAAAGAUUUUUGCAGUGUGAAAUUCCAGAAUACUUAUUUGUGGAAAUAUCAAAGUUAACUUUUAGAAAACAUUGGCAUACUUAUUUUUGGGAUAGUAAAAAUAAGUUAUGUAAAACGUUUUAUUUGGGUAUUAAACAGAGUUUUCCUGUUGCUCACUUUUUGCCCCUAUCCUUUUUUUUUUUUUUCUUCAAGACAAAUGUAGCAAGAUGUAAAACUGGGUGUUCUACUGCCAUUUAGUUGCAUAUAAAUACAACUUAUGUUUUUAUAGCAAAUCUUUUGCUUUUCUAGGAAACUGAAAAUACCAAAAGAAGCCUUGUCCAGUCAUUAUGACAUGAGAUUCUGGUAGACUUAUUGAUGACAUCUACUGAGAAAUGUGUAUUUAUUCU